rnacentral:rRNA from 1 species
AUUGAACGCUGGCGGCAUGCCUUACACAUGCAAGUCGAACGGUAACAGGUCUUCGGAUGCUGACGAGUGGCGAACGGGUGAGUAAUACAUCGGAACGUGCCUAGUAGUGGGGGAUAACUACUCGAAAGAGUGGCUAAUACCGCAUGAGAUCUACGGAUGAAAGCAGGGGAUCGCAAGACCUUGUGCUACUAGAGCGGCCGAUGGCAGAUUAGGUAGUUGGUGGGAUAAAAGCUUACCAAGCCGACGAUCUGUAGCUGGUCUGAGAGGACGAUCAGACAACCUGGACCUGGGCCACGGCCCAGACUCCUACGGGAGCAAGAGGUGGGAAUUUUGGACAGUGGGCGAAAGCCUGAUCCAGCAAUGCCGCGUGCAGGAUGAAGGCCUUCGGGUUGUAAACUGCUUUUGUACGGAACGAAAAGCCCCGGGUUAAUACCCUGGGGUCAUAACGGUACCGUAAGAAUAAGCACCGGCUAACUACGUGCCAGCCGCCGCCGUAA